rnacentral:misc_RNA from 1 species
GUAGGUGAACCUGCGGAAGGAUCAUAACACGUAUCCAACGUUAAAACCCCUGUGAACUUUCAGCCUGCUCUUGCAGCCCGUGACGCAGCAAUUCCGGUAAAUCAAGUGGGAGGAACAGUUUGAUUUGCCCACAUAGAUAAAACAGUUACAAUUGAGCGGUAGAAGCAGUGGCAUGAAUGACAGUCACUGGAACAGUGUAAGGAUAGCGCUUCUCGGUUGGGUCGAUCACCGGCAAACAUGUCAACGCGCCCCUAAACACCCCUCUGAAAUGUUGACGCCCCGAUGAAAAUCCGGGUGAGAAAAAACCGAACAACUGUUAGCAAUGGAUAUCUUGGUUCUC